GCGAGGCAGAAGGCGGCAGCUGGCUGUAUAUCCAUUCGAGCAGCGAGUCCAGAUCGUCGGCGAAAUCCUUCAUGUGCCAUUCCAGAAGCUUCGGCACCACCAGCUUCCUCUUGCUCGUAAUUACGCCCACCGCCGCUUCCAGAUGGAUGCCUGAGAAUGAAGUGUUCGAUGGCCAAAGCAUUUAGCACUAUUCCCCCAACAUUUAUUGCAGCCUGAUUGAGAUUAUUGCCAUGGGAUGAAGGCAUUGUAAAUAUUGAUCCAAAAGGCUAGCUUUUGUUUGUAGCUCAAAGGUGUCAGGUCCACAUUGCAGAGCUUACGCAUCAAAGUCCUGCAAGAAAAGAACAAACAAGCCAGUUCUUUACAGGCCUGCUGCAUUUGGAGAAGCAAUUAAGCACUUUUAGAUUAACAUCUUGCCAAUACCUUAGUU